rnacentral:rRNA from 1 species
GACGAACGCUGGCGGCAUGCCUUACACAUGCAAGUCGAACGGUAGCAGGUCUUCGGAUGCUGACGAGUGGCGAACGGGUGAGUAAUACAUCGGAACGUGCCUAGUAGUGGGGGAUAACUACUCGAAAGAGUGGCUAAUACCGCAUGAGAUCUACGGAUGAAAGCAGGGGAUCGCAAGACCUUGUGCUACUAGAGCGGCCGAUGGCAGUUUAGGUAGUUGGUGGGGUAAAAGCUUACCAAGCCGACGAUCUGUAGCUGGUCUGAGAGGACGAUCAGCCACACUGGGACUGAGACACGGCCCAGACUCCUACGGGAGGCAGCAGUGGGGAAUUUUGGACAAUGGGCGAACGCCUGAUCCAGCAAUGCCGCGUGCAGGAUGAAGGCCUUCGGGUUGUAAACUGCUUUUGUACGGAACGAAAAGCCCCGGGUUAAUACCCUGGGGUCAUGACGGUACCGUAAGAAUAAGCACCGGCUAACUACGUGCCAGCCGCCGCGGUAA